rfam:Beta vulgaris subsp. vulgaris Bvchr5.sca024.con0112.1, whole genome shotgun sequence.
GUUGAGGGGAAUGUUGUGUGGCUCGAAGUCAUUCAUACAUCAUGUCUUAACAUGAAUGAUUUCGGACCAGGCUUCAUUCCCCUCAAC